GGAACGCCGGCCCCCAGCGGCUGGAGGCUGGGGCGGCCCUGAGGACGCGUGCGGGGCAGGUCACGCUUGGGCCUGGCUGCCUCAGGAGCCACCCUUCCCGGCGCUGGGCGAGGCUGUGCGCGCCCUCCCGGACUCUCCACUUUGGGGCUUUGCGGUGUGGCGGCGCGUCCCACUCCCUCACGUGUUCAGUCCCGAAUCACGUACGGGCCGCGGCAGCUCCAGGACGGCGGACGCCAGCGCUCUCGGAUCCCCAGGCCCCUCCGUGCUCAUCCCGGACCGCCCCGUCCCUGAGGAAAAACCGCCCCGUGCCCGGGACCGCGGCCUCUCCCACGCGGGGCAGGCCGGGGUUGUGAGGGGGCAGCCCGCCUGCGGACUAGGCCGGGGGGUGUGAGGAGGCUUCUCUGCCGGGGACAAGGCCGGGGGCGUGAGGGGCGGUUCUGCGGGGUUCGGGGCGCGCGGGGCAGGUUGCGUGAAGAGGCUCAAAGUCCCACUCGCCCUCGGCUUCUCUCUGCCCGGCCGUCGGUGUCCCGCCCGCCGGUGUCCCGCCCGCCGCCGCCCGGCGCAGCCUGGCCCGACCCGCGGCGAUGGCCCAGUCCGGGGACCCGCGGCGCCUCUGCAGGCUGGUGCAGGAGGGCCGGCUGCGCGCCCUGAAGGAGGAGCUGCAGGCGGCCGGGGGCUGCCUGGGGCCUGCCGGGGAUACCCUCCUGCACUGCGCCGCGCGCUACGGGCAUCGGGACGUGCUGGCCUAUCUGGCCGAGGCCUGGGGCAUGGACAUCGAGGCCACCAACCGAGACUACAAGCGGCCUCUGCACGAGGCGUCCUCCAUGGGCCACCGAGACUGCGUGCGCUACCUGCUGGGCCGGGGGGCAGCGGUCGACUGCCUGAAGAAGGCCGACUGGACUCCUCUGAUGAUGGCGUGCACAAGGAAGAACCUGGGGGUGAUCCAGGAGCUGGUGGAACAUGGCGCCAAUCCACUCCUGAAGAACAAAGAUGGCUGGAACAGUUUCCACAUUGCCAGUCGAGAAGGCGACCCUCUGAUCCUCAAGUACCUGCUCACUGUUUGCCCAGAUGCCUGGAAGACAGAGAGCAAAAUUAGAAGGACCCCUCUGCACACUGCAGCAAUGCAUGGCCAUUUAGAGGCAGUCAAGGUGCUUCUUAAGAGGUGCCAAUAUGAACCAGACUACAGAGACAACUGUGGCGUCACCGCCUUGAUGGAUGCAAUCCAGUGUGGUCACAUCGACGUUGCUAGGCUGCUCCUCGAUGAACAUGGGGCUUGCCUUUCAGCAGAAGACAGCCUGGGUGCCCAGGCUCUGCACAGGGCAGCCGUCACAGGGCAGGAUGAAGCCAUCCGAUUCUUGGUCUCUGAACUUGGCGUCGAUGUAGAUGUGAGAGCCACAUCAACCCACCUCACAGCACUUCAUUAUGCAGCUAAGGAAGGACAUACAAGUACAAUUCAGACUCUCUUAUCCUUGGGAGCUGACAUCAAUUCUAAAGAUGAAAAAAAUCGAUCAGCCCUGCAUCUGGCCUGUGCAGGUCAGCACUUGGCCUGUGCCAAGUUUCUCCUGCAGUCGGGACUGAAGGAUUCUGAAGACAUCACAGGCACCCUGGCUCAGCAGCUCCCAGGGAGAGCAGAUGUCCUUCAGGGCUCUGGCCACAGCGCAAUGACAUAAGGAUGUUUCCAAGAGGAGGCAAUAAAGCUCAUGGUAAUUCAUAUCCUGCUUAAGUCAGUCACAAAUUCAGCAAAACCAGUUGGAAGCCAGUUUUAUAUCUCCUCCGCUUCAUCCCUUCCCUCCUUCUGCAUGUUCCACUCCUGCUGAGGAGUUCCCAGUGAUCAGGAGGCUGAGUUCCCAGCUCUAUGACAGGCACAUUAUGGAGUCCUGAGCACAGUCAUAAUCUUCCCGUAGUCCAUAUUUCACUGUUUGUACUCUUAAAGUAGAAUAGAUAACGUUUGUGUGAUCAGGCUGUGGGAUCCUUAGAGAAGCACGUACUAUGCAUGAAUAUAAUAUACGUGCUUUCACAAACAUGAAAUAUCUUAUAAUAACUGCUGCAUGGUAAGGCUAUGAUAAUAAUAACAAAAAUAUCACAUACAUUGCUAUUAGCUUGAGCUAUAAAAUGCAGUUGGCCCGUUUAAUUUCUUCCUUCAUAAGCUUUUACUUGGCCAUUACAAUGGUUCACUUUUGGUUUCAUAGCCAAGAAGGACAUACUUAUAAUCUGUUUACACAGGCGUUUACAAGAAAUUAGUAAAAACUUUUAUAUAUUCUAAGCACUGCUAGUUAAGCUAUCAAGUUUUAAUCUUGAGGGUUUUUGUUUGUUUUAAUAGAUAAAUUCAGUAUUGACCCCCUUCAAGUAAUAAAUACACGUAGAAAAUGUAAUUAAGGACCGGGCAUGGUGGCCCAUGCCUGUAAUCCCAGCACUUUGGGAGGCUGAGGCAGGCAGAUCACUUAAGGCCAGGAGUUCAAGACCAGCCUGGCCAACAUGAUAAAACCUCAUCUCUAUUAAAAAUACAAAAAUUAGCCAGGUGUGCUGGUGCAUGCCUGUAGUCCCAGCUACCAGUGAGGCUGAGGCCCGAGAAUUGCCUGAACCCAGGAGGCAGAGGUUGCAGUGAGCUGAGAUCACGCCACUGCACUCGAGCCUGGGCGACGAAGCGUGACUCUGUCUCAAAAAAAAAAAGAAAAUGUAACUAAGAUAUUUACAAAACUUCUGUUAACCUGAGUUGAAGAAUGGGGUUUUGUCUUUAAAACCCAUUUUCUGGCCUGUCCCAUCCACCCACGGAAGCCUCUGACUUAAGGAAAGAAAUACUUGACAUUUGGUUUUAAAAAAUAUUGUAGCCUCUUAAACGGAGUAAAGAUAGGAUGAGUCCUCAGGCAUUUAGAUUCUUUUUCUACUUUUUUUCCUUUUCUUUCUUUUCCUUUUUUGAUCCUUUUCUCUGAAUUGCAAAGAAUAAUUAUUAGUCUAGAUCAGGCUUUUUAAUCAUUGUAUGCAUCAGUCACAAGCAACAUUGAAUCCUCUUGUUUAGUGUGAUCCAGCAAGUGCUUAUUACACACCCACCUUAUUCUCAGUGUUGAGCUCGGUUUGGUACAGAGCAAGAAUUUCCCGUUUGUCUUAAUUAUUCCCAGAUGGCAUCAGCGGAUUCCUGUUUCUAACCACCAAAUCAGUGUUCUGGUAGAAACACUCCUGUCUUGUGACCUCUAAAUUACACACUCUCUCCAUCUGCACUGAUUUGAGAUGCAGUUACCACUUUCCUGUUCCUCCAGAGAUGCCUGCGUCAAUGCCCUCUAGGUCUGAAGAUGGUCCUGUUGUGUGGCUAUUUCACGUGUACAGGUGGGACUGAAAGAUCAGUCUGGGACUGCCCUCUUUCUCCUCAGCACACACGAGCAGCUUUGUGUUUGCAGCAGCUGCGUGCACCAUCAGCUUCCAUUUGGCUUUGUUUCUGCCCUUACAAACCAGCUGAUGGUGACGACACAGCAUGUUACACUGUUGUCCCCGGUUUUCCUAGAUUCCACGCACCUUUGUAAUAGAAACCAUGGCUACUGGAUGCCACUGCUGAAACUACUAAACACCCAGAGAUGGCAGUGAUUAUAAGAACAUUAAUUGUGGGCUGGGCGCAGUGGCUCAUGCCUGUAAUCCCAGCACUUUGGGAGGCCGAGGCAGGGAUCACCUGAGGUCAGGAGUUCAAGACCUGCCUGGCCAACAUGGUGAAACCCCGUCUCUUCUAAAAAUAUAACAAUUAGCCCAGCAUGGUGGCAUGUGCCUGUAAUCCCAGCUACUUGGGAGGCUGAGGCAGGAGAAUCGCUUUAACCCCGGAGGCGGAGGUUGCAGUGAGCCGAGAUCGUGCCACUGCACUCCAGCCUGGGUGACAGAGCGAGACUCCAUCUCAAAACAAAACAAAAAAAUUAGCCUGGCAUGGUGGCAGGCACCUGUAAUCCCAGUUACUUGAGAGGCUAAGGCAGGAGAAUCGCUUGAACCCGGGAGGCAGAGGUUGCAGUGAGCCGAGAUUGCACCACUGCACUCCAGCCUGGGUGACAGAGUAAGACUCUGUCUCAAAAAAAAAAAAAAAUUAAUUGCAGCAAAGACAGUAGCAAUAAUAGAGUAAUAACCAGAUGUUUCCAUAACAAUAAUAUAUGAAGAAUGCUCUGGCGAUGAUAACUAAUAUUUUUCUAUUACUCCCUAAUUAUAGUUACUUCCCUCACUUCCUUUGAGUCUUUACCUACAAGCCACCUUCUCAGUGAGGCCUGCCCAGGCCACCCUAUCUAAAAUUGUAUCCUUUUCUUCAACAUUUGUUAUCUUCUUUCCUCAGUUUAUUUUUUCUUCUUAGGAUUUGCUAUUAGCAAAUGUACCAUAUAAUUCAUUUAUUUUGUUCAUUGUUUUUCUCCCCCACUGGUAUGCAGGCUCCUUGGACUGAUUUUUGUCUUUUAAAUUGAAAAUUAUUAUAUAGUUAAUGGCGAUAAAAGCCCUUUGUGUGCAUUGAGCACUUACCAUAUGCGAGAUAGUGUGCUAAGAAGCCCUUACCUAGCUUGUCUCAUUUUGUCUUCUGACUCUUGCACCCUGCAGCCCCUUCUCAUUAUUAUUCCCUCUGGAGCAUCUUUUCCCAUACACAGUUUCACGUAGAGUCUCUACUUGAUACCCUCAGCUCACAGGCACCUCCCACCCCCCCGCAGUCUGGCGUCAUUGUUGCUGCUCUGUGCAGACUCUUCCUUUCAGAUACCAGUGACGUCCUAAUUGCCAUAUCAAGUGAUGUACUUUUAGCCCUUAGGUUACUGACCCUUUCAGUUCACUUACUGAUCACUACCCCCUUCUGGACUUUUGCCACAUGCAAUAAUGCACUCCUGGGUUUUUCUUUCUGCCUUUUCCUUCUCUGCCUCUGCACCCGUCCGUCAGGCCGGCCCUCCAUGCUCAUGCAUACCAGCUUCUGUCUCCAGCAUCUCCCUCAUUCUGGGUUUUCUCCUGAAGCAUUGUCAUCUGUGCCUCGGGUUUCAGCUACACCCUAAUGUCAGUAACACUCAGAUCUCUCUCUAGCCCUUAGUUUCCACUGCCUGCUUACGUUUCUGCAUGGAUGUUCUGAGGCCAGCUCACGUUGAGUUUAUUCAAAACCCAGCCUUCCCCACAACCCACUGACAUAUCGGCCUGCAUUCCUGCCUCGGUUGAUGGCAUCACAGCUCACCCCACUGUGUUGGAAAGCUGGGGGUCAGUCAUGACUCCUCCCUCUUCGGGAGUCCCUGCAGAGGACAGCUGCUGGGCGGCUCUCUAAUCUGCCUGUUCCACACCAUCCCUACUGUGACUCCUGCCCAAGCUGUCACUCUCCUCCUAGAGAGUGGCAGCCAUGUCUUAAAUACGCCUCUCCACGUCCUCAAAUCCACCCUCCACAUGGCUGCCAGGGCGUUCUCACUAAUGUGACCAAGGGCAUUGAUUGCCAAUUGUGGCUUAACCUGCCUCCCAGAGCACAUACUACACUUUUGCCUGGAUUUCUGAUUGCCUCAACUAACACCCAUUUCCACCAGGGCUGUCAGCUAGUCCUAAAAGCACACCCACUCCCAUGGUGAGUGUGUGUUAUUAAGCUCAAUCAAAGCAGAAGUCUCAGCCAGGUGCUGUGGCUAAUGCCUGUAAUCCCAGUAUUAUGGGAGGCUGAGGUGGGCAGAUCAUGAGGUCAGGAGAUCGAGACCAUGCUGGCCAACAUGGUGAAAUCCCAUCUCUACUAAAAAUACAAAAAUUAGCCGGGCGUGGUGGCACACGCCUGUAAUCCCAGCUACUUGGGAGGCUGAGGCAGGAGAAUCGCUGGAACCUGGGAGUCGGAGGUUGCAGUGAGCCGAGAUUGCCAUGCACUCCAGCCUGGUGACAGAGCAAGACUCUGUCUCAAAAAAAAAAAAAAAAAAAAAAGUCGCUGAAAAGAGAUGCAAAGAGGUGAAAAUUGUAAUGACUUGAAAAUAGCGAGGACCUAACAUAUAUUACCAAAAAAAUUUAUAUGAGAAAAUACACAAGACAAGAUGGAAAGGAUCACAAAAUGGAAACAAGAUGGCAAAAGUCAGGCUAAAGAAGCUGGAGGGAACUAUAGAGAGGGUGCUCAGACAGUGAGAAGAGGGAGGAGCAAGCACUGAAUUUAACCCGGGACGUUGCUAGAAUCCACCAGCAGGUGGCAGGCCAGAAAAAUGUCCCUUUUAAUCUCCCAGACUUGUUUGUAAGGCCUAUUGUAAAAUACAAAAGAUAGUAAAGGAGAAAACAAAAAUAAUCUAUAGUUCCACCACCCAGAUGGAACCACUCUUAUUUCCCCUUAGUCUUUCAAAAUGCAUAUAGGGCUGAGCACGGUGACCCCUACCUAUAAUCCCAGCACUUUGGGAAGCCGAGGCGGGCAGAUCACUUGAGGUCAGGAGUUCAAGACUAGCCUGGCUAAUAUGGUGAAACCCCAUCUCUACUAAACAUAUAAAAAUUGGCCAGGAGUGCUGGGCACGGUGGCUCACACCUGUAAUCCCAGCACUUUGGGAGACUGAGGCAGGCGGAUCGUGGUGUCUGGAGAUCGAGACCAUCCUGGCUAACCCGGUGAAACCCUGUCUCUACUAAAAAUACAAAAAAGUUAGCUGGGCAUGGUGGCACACGACUGUAGUUCCAGCUACUUGGGAGGCUGAGGCAGGAGAAUUGCUUAAACCCGGGAGGUAGAGGUUGCAGUGAGCUGAGAUCGUGUCACUGCACUCCAGCCUGGGCGACAAAGCAAGACUGUCUCAAAAAAAAAAAAAAAAUUAGCCAGGUGUGGUGGGUCACACCUGUAGUCCCAGCUACUUGGAAGGCUGAGGCAUAGAAUCGCUUGAACCCAGGAGGCAGAGGCUGCAGUGAGCCGAGAUCACGCCACUGCACUCCGGCCUGGGCGACAGAGUGAGACUCCCUCUCAAGAAAUAAAAAAUAAAAUGCAGGGCCGGGCACGGUGGCUCAUGCCUGUAAUGCCAGCACUUUGGGAGGCCAAGGAGGGCAGAUCACGAGGUCAGGAGAUCAAGACUAUCUUGGCUAACACGGUGAAAUCCCGUCUCUACUAAAAAUACAAAAAAUUAGCCAGGUGUGGUGGUGGGCACCUGUAGUCCCAGCUACUCGGGAGGCUGAGGCAGGAGAAUGGCGUGAAUCCAGGAGGUGGAGCUUGCAGUGAGCCGGGAUUGCGCCAGUGCACUCCAGCCUGGGCGACAGAGUGAGAUUCUAUCUCAAAAAAAAUACAUAAAUAAAAAAUAAAUAAAAUACAUACAGUUGAGCUGAUGCUGCACACUGCAGUUUUUCCCUUAACUUUGUUUAUUUAUUUAUUUUGGAGACAGUCUUGCUCUGUCACCCAGGUGGGGGUACAGUGGCACAAUCUCGGCUCACUGCAGCCUGCACCUCCUGGGUUCAAGCAAUUCUCAUACCUCAGCCUCCUGAGUAGCUGGGAUUACAGGCGCCCUCCACCAUGCCUGGCUAAUUUUUGUAUUUUUAGUAGAGACAGGUUUCACCAUGUUGGGCAGGCUGGUCUCAAACUCCUGACCUCGAGUGAUCCGCCCGCCUCAGCCUCCCAAAGUGCUAGGUUUACAGGUGUGAGCCACCACGCUUGGCCCUCUAACUUUAUAUUACAAGCCAAUCCUAAUGCUCUUUAAAACUUUGUGAAUGUCGUGUUUCAUGGCCGUCUUAUGCUCCAUCGUAUACUGUCCAUGUUGAGUCUUGUGUGUUGCCUCUUUCAUUGGUUUCCAUUUUCUUUUAAAGAUGUAGACGGAGUAAUCUCUGUCAAAUUCAACUGGAGGCAAGGGCGGCAGGUUGGGGAUGGAAACGGCUGUUGGAUUUGAUCACCGGAGGUUGGGCCGCGUGAGUGGGUGGGAGAUAUGGGCUGCACAGGGGCCUGAGCAACUCUGUGCGCCCUUGGCUGCGUUGUGUGGUGAAGGAAAGGAAAGAAGAAAGCGGUUUGACAGGACAGUAGUUUUCUCCGAGAGGGUGAGUGAGGGGAUGAGCGUGUGGCAUGUUUACAGACUGGGAAAGGAGCCCAGAGAGGGAGGAAGCCAGCAGUGAGGGAGUGAGGGCUCUGUGGGAUAAGGCCCUUUGGAAGGUGCGGGAAGUAGGCUUAGAAGCCCUUGGGAAGCUCAGCUCCAGAGGCAAAAGGAGAGUUUCCUUCUCAGAGGCAUGAAGGAAAGAAGCAGGGCAAGGAGGAAGGAAAAGUUCAAGGCAGAGCCCACAUGGGCGCCUCAUUGAAUGCCAGUAUCUAGGAGGGUGGGGGAUUUGUGGAGCACAUUUAUUACGUUUCCUACAACAAUGGAUAAUAAUAUAGACUUAUAUUUGGCAGUUUUUACGCUUUUUAAAAUUACACUCUUUCAGUUGGAAAGAGUGAUGUGAUUUUUAUUUAUUUAUUUAUUUUUUUAUUAUUUUUUUUUUUUUGAUACGGAGUCUAGCUCUGUCGCCCAGGCUGGAGUGCAACGGCGCAGUCUCGGCUCACAGCAACCUCUGCCUCCCGGGUUCAAGCGAUUCUCCUGCCUCAGCCUCCUGAGUAGCUGGGAUCACAGGCGCAUGCCUCCACACCUGGCUAAUUUUUCUAUUUUUAGUAGAGACGGGGUUUCUCCAUGUUGGUCAGGCUGGUCUCGAACUCCCGACCUCAGACGAUCCGCCCACCUUGGCCUCCCGAAGUGCUGGGAUUACAGGCGUGAGCCACUGCGCCUGGCCACGUGACGUGAUUUUUAUCGAGAAGGAAACAAGAUGGAAGUGAGGGCUGGCCUCUGCCGAUCGUGGUGAUGACAGGGACUUGAUUGGCCUGUGUGAUUAACCCACCCUGCGGCAUUUGCAGAACCUGCCUCCUUCCACCAUGCUGAAAAUGUGAUUGACUUGAUACUGAGGACAGACCUGGGUGCUCCUGGGAAAGCACGGGGAGUGGAUGCAUUUAUCAGCCCAUGCUCUGUGCAGCUUCUGACCUGAGCACAGCAACAGGAGGGGCCUGCAGGCAUUUCGACCAACAUGACACCUCUCUUGGCUUCACCAUAGGUGAACCAGGUCUCUUGUUCCCUCUUCCCACUCUGGAAGGCCCAGCGCAUCCUGAAGGGGAGUGACACCCUGGGGGUAUUUGAAACAACAUUUUAAAAAUAGCAAUGGCCAGGCACCGUGGCUCACGCCUGUAAUCCCAACACUUUGGGAGGCCAAGGCAGGUGGAUCGCUUGAGGUCAGGAGUUUGAGACCAGCCUGGACAACAUGGUGAGACCCUGCCUCUACAAAAAAUACAAAAAAUUAUCUGGGCGUGGUGUGCCCGUAAUCCCAGCUACCAAGGAAGCUGAGGUGGGAGAAUUGCUUGAGCCCAGGCAGUCAAGGCUGCAGUGAGCUAUGAUUGCACUACUGUAUUCCAGCCUGGGUGACAGAGCAAAACCCUGUUUCAAAAAAAAAAAAAGCAGUAGGGAGGGAAUGAGGACUGGCUGGUGCCCAGGCAGAGUCGCAGGGAAGAGAGGCCCAGAGCCAAAGCUGACCUCACUGCAUGGGUGCACUGGGGGCCUCUGUGAAGGGGUCGGUGACGAGCUGGACGAAGAUCAGAGCAGAUUUGAGAGAGAAUGGGAAGGCAGAACCUGGAGCUGGAAAAUGAAGCAGUGGAGAGGGAUGUGGAUCGAUGUUUUGGUUUUUUUAAUGGAGCAGAUUACAGUUUACAGAUUGCUGAGAGAAUGGUCCAACAGACAGGAAGUGAGGAGGAAGAAUGAGUCUAAUGUCCAUACGAAGCAACGAGAGUCUUGUUAAAAUGCAGAUUCCUUCAAACCUGGGAUCCUGAAAAAAAAGAAAAAUGCAGAUUCUCAGAGGGAGAGAGUCCAGGGGUACGGGGGCCAGUCAAAAAAACUACCAACUGGAUACUAUGCUCACUGUCUGAGUGAUGCAAUCCUUACUGCAGACCUCAGCAUCACGCAAUAUACCCAGGUAACAAACCUGCACAUGUACCCUCUGUAUUUAAAAUAACAGUUGAAAUUAGAAACUUUUAAAGAUCCAGAUUCCCACUCACCCACCCCUCCCCCCAGCAACCCCCGGCUGCUUCCAGCUAGUUCCCAGGGGCAGUCAUGGCUGCUGCAUUGAGUAGCUUCUUGUGCAUGAGGGGAAAUACUCGUGUUCACCCUGCUGGUUCCUCCCCAGCUUCAAGAGGGAAAGCCGAGCAGAAGGGCGCCGAGCAGGAGCUGGGGCACUUGGUGCUGGGAGACACCAGGCUGUCUUCUAGGUGCUUCGACUUCUCAGUGAAAUAGGAAAGCAGGUGAUCAGCCGAGAGUGAGGAUGUGGUAUGGGAGGUCUGAGGAGUUAGGGAAGGGUGUGAAAUAGUCCGUUAAGGGAGCAAAGGCCUGGGCAGUGCUUCUCAGGCCCCCACUUGCUGGACACAGGUGGCUGGGCAGCCCCAGAGAGCUUGGCCUUUAGGUCCAGGGUGGAGUCUAGGAAUUUGCAUUUCUUUUGUUCUUUUCCUUUUUGUAAUGGUUUUACUGAGAUAUAAUUGGUACACAAAGCUGCACAUCCUUGAUAUAUACAGUUUGAUUAAUUCAGACAUAUUUGUGCACCCAGGAAACUAUCACCACAGCCAAGGCAAUAAACACAUCCCUCGCCUCCAAAAGCAGGGUAUCUAAUCUUUUGGCUCCCCUGGGCCACAUUGGAAGAAGGAUAAUUGUCUUGGGCCACACAUAAACUACACUAUCACUAAAGAUAGCUGAUGAGCUUUAAAAAAAAAAAAAAAUCACAAAAAACCUCAAUGUUUUAAGAAAGUUUACAAAUUUGUGUUGGGCCACAUUCAAAGCCACCUGAGCCACAGGUUGGACAAACUUGUCCAAAAGUUUCUUCCCACCCCUUUGCUUUUUUUGUCUUUUUGUGGUAUUGUGUCUGGAAUUUAUUCCUUCUGGUGGGUUCUUGGUCUUGCUGACUUCAAGAAUGAAGGCACAGACCUCGCGGUGACUGUUGCGAUCUUAAAGAUGGCAUGUCCGGAGUUGUUCGUUCCUCCUGGUGGGUUCGUGGUCUUGCUAACCUCAGGAAUGAAGCCGCAGACCCUCACGGUGGGUGUUACAGCUCUUAAAGGUGGCGUGGACCCAAAGAGUGAGUAGCAGCAAGAUUUAUUAUGAAGAGUGAAAGAACAAAGCUUCCACAGUGUGGAAGGGGGUUGCCGCCGCUGGCUGGGGGUGACCAGCUUUUAUUCCCUUAUUUGUCCCUGCCCACAUCCUGCUGAUUGGUCUGUUUUACAGAGUGCUGAUUGGUGCAUUUACAGUCCUUUAGCUAGACACAGAGUGCUGAUUGGUGCAGGAUGCUGAUUGGUGCAUUUACAGUCCUUUAGCUAGACACAGAGUGCUGAUUGGUGCAUUUUUACAGAAUGCUGAUUGGUGCAUUUACAGUCCUUUAGCUAGACAGAAAAGUUCUCCAAGUCCCCACUCGACCCAGGAAGUCCAGCUGGCUUCACUUCUCAAUCCUCCCUCUAAACAGGAUACCCCACCUGCUAUUGGGAAUUGGGCGAUGACCACUCUAGCUACUUCCUGCUGGAUAGGAGCAAAGGGGCCCUGCAGUUGUAGCAUUCUCCAGAGGGGAACUCUUUAGGCCAGUGGAAGGCCAGCGGGUUGGUCCAGGGAUCCUCAGUAGAUUGUUAGUUGAGCUCAUUUGGGGUUCCAUUUGUAAGACCAUCUGUAGCUUGAUGGCCUCAAUCCUAGAGGAAACAAAUUUGGCAAGGAGGUUAAAAAUACAGGGCCUGAAGGCGAGUAAUAGCAAGAUGGCUGUCACGGGACCUAGAAAGUGGAAAAGUCACGUCACCCAACUCCAGAGGUUGGUAUGAGAGUUCGAAAGGCGUUGUCUGAUUUCAGAAGCCUUUUCCUGUAAAUGCCAGGCAACAUCUCGUUCUAUCCCUCACUGGUUAGUGUAAAAGCAGCACUCUUACCCUAAGAAGGUGCAAAGUCCUCCUUUCUCAGCAGUGAGGAGGUCUAGGCCUCGGUAGUUUUGGAGAGUCACUGCUGCCAAAGAGUCUAUUUGGGAUUGUAGUUACUAUCCUUACUGGAUAGAUUUCAUUAUUUCUUGCAAACUGUCUGAGAAAUCGUUUGAGAGUGUGUGGUAGUAGGAUAAUGAAGUAGAUAAACCUGCUAUUCCGGUUCCUGUAGCAAUGGCCAUUCCUAAUCCUAUAAGUAGGGGUAUUAGUUGUAUGGCUCUGUGCUGAUGGACUUGAGCUUUGAGGGGCACUGAUAGGGUCUGAUUUCCAUAAGAUUAGAGGUUGGGAUAAUACAUGUUACACUGUUAACUUUUAGCAAACUUUACUUUUGUUGAAAACCUUGUAAGUUUGGGAUUUUAAUUUUUCUUUACUUAAUAAAACCUUGUUCAGUCCAUAUUAACUUAGGAUUGGUAUAGAUGGCUCCUUCCUGAUUCUGUAAGUACUUUAAAGUUUGGCUGAGUGCAAACAGCUCACACGUUUGAGCAUACCAAUUAUUAGGCGAUUUUCCUAACUGUUUCUAGAAGAGUUUCCUUAUCACUUACUGAAUACCCAUUGUGUCCUUUUUCCUUAAUCUCCGAGGAGGAACCAUCUAUUGUCCUGUCCUGAAGGGAGUUCCUCCUAGGUCUGGUUGAACCUUUGUAUGGUAAUAAGAUUUAGAUCCCCUGUUAGGAAACCUGCUGGGUUAAGGAUUUUUUAUAGGAAGGCUAUGGAUUGUCAGUGGCCUCAGUGCUUUUGGGCUAUGCCCUUGCUUACACUGACAACAAGGUGUGAUUGGAGUGUUAUAGGGUAACAGAAAAGAACUUCAAUUAUCAAUUAUAGAUUUUAAAUUUACCCUGGCUUUUAAGGGAAUAGGGUAUACUGUUUUUUCUUUACUACUUCCGUCUCUCUUUCUUUCUCUUUGACUUCUUCUUUGUCUUUCUCUCUCCUUCUGACUCCCUCUUUGUCUCUUCCUCUUUCUUUGACUUUCUGUUUCUCUCUGACUCUUCUUUGUCUGUCUCUUCCUCUCUCUCCUCUCUUUGACUUUCAGCCUCUCUGUCUCUUCCUCUCUCUCUCUCCCUCUUUGACUCCUUUGUCUCUGUCCCUUCCUCUCUCUCUCUCUCUCUCUCUCUCUGUCUCUUUCUCUCUUUCCUUUCUGCUGGUCUUUCCCUGCCUCCGCCAGCCACUUAUGCUGCUGUUCUCCCCUCUCCUUCCCCUUUUUGACGGUUUUGGCAGUGUAAGACCUGCCACCUCCUUGGGUUUUGGCACUGCGUGCAAUAACUCCAUGAUUUCCUUGUGGUAUUUAAUGGGGGUUCCCCAGAGGUUGGGAACCCUCUUUCUUUCCAUAUUGCAGCAUGGGCAUGUAGGAUUAGAUAAGCAUACUUGCUAUCUGUAUACACAUUUAUUCUUCUUCCCUUUCCCAGUUCUAAGGCUCAGGUAAGUGCCACUAGUUCUGCUAACUGCACGCUGGAUCCUGGGGGAACAGGCUUACUUUCAAGUACUGUUACAUCACUAACUAUGGCAUAACCUGCCCUUCAUAUCCCAUUCUCCACCACAAAUGAACUUUCAUCACUAUAUAGGUUAAGGUCAGGAUUAACUAAGGGGACUUCUAAGAGAUCAUCUCGGGUGGCAUAAGUCUGGACUAUAAUUUGAUGGCAGUCAUGCUCAAUUGGUUCCCCAUCCUCUGGGAGAAAAGUGGCAGGGUUGAGGACCACACACGAACGUAUUUGAAGCACUGGUCCCUCAAGGAGUAGUGCCUGGUAUCUAAGUAGGCGGUUGUCUGAUAACCAUAAGCUUCCUUUGGCACCUAUUAUGCCAUUUACAUCAUGAGUAGUCCAGACAGUGAGAUCCUUUCCUUGUAUUAUUUUGAUAGCCUCUGACGCUAUGACGGCCACUGUUGCUACUACCCGUAAACAGUGAGGCCAGCCUUUUGCUACUACAUCAAUUUCCUUACUUAGGUAUGCCACUGGUUGUGGGGUUGUCCCAUGAGUCUGAGUAAGGACCCCAAGAGCUAUCCCUGCUCUCUCUGUGAUGUAUAAAGAGAAGUUUUGUCCUGUGGGAAGGCUUAAGGCUGGAGCUUGUUCCUUCCAAUGCCCAGACUUCAGGGCUGAUUCCCUCCUCAAGCAGGGGACAAUAAAUGGGCAAUUUGCCCCCCAUAUUCAUGUAGAUAAUAGCUUCAGCUUUGGCUAAUACGUCCCUCCCUAAUAAGGGUAUGGGACUUUCAGGCAUAACAAGAAAGGCAUGUGAAAAGAGCAAAGUCUCCCAAUUACAACUGAGGAGGUGGGAGAAAUACCUGGUUAUGGGCUGUCCCAGGAUUCCUUGGAUGGUAACGGACCUUGAGGACAGCUGUCCAGGACAGGAGAUUAACACUGAGAAGGCCAUGCCAGUGUCCAGGAGGAAGUCGAAUUCCUGGCCUUCAAUGGUUAAAGGUACCUGGGGCUCAGUGAGGAUGAUGCCAUGAGCUGGCGCUUGCCCCGGGCACCUUCAAUCCUGUUGUUGGAUCAUCUGGUUGGGGGCUUCUGGCCCAGAGAACCUUUGUCCUCUGGGGCAGUGCACCUUCCAGUGAUUGCCUCGGCAUAGUGGACAUAGGCGAGGGGGCAGCUUGUUUCUCAUUGGACAAUCUUUUUUAAGGUGUCCUUGCAAACCACACUGGUAACAAGCCCUACCAGGUGAUUGGCCUGCUCCAUUUUCUGUCCUCUCUGAACCACCAAGGUUGGUUUGUCUGAGGGCCGUGACUAAGGCUGCAGCCUUUCUCUGAUCUCACUUUUCAGCCUGUUCCUCUUGGUCCUUAUUAUAGAACACUGAGGUUGCCAGGUUUAAUAAUGCCUCUAGAUUUUGUUUAGGGCCCAGGGCUCACUUUUGGAGCUUUCUCCUGAUAUCUGCGGCUGAUUGGAUAAUAAACUUAUCUUUUAGGAUCAAUUGACCCUCGAGUGAGUUGGGCGACAGGGGAGUAUAUUUUCUUAAGGCCUCCCAUAGCUGUUCGAGGAAGGCAGAAGGAUUUUCUUCCUUUCCCUGAGUUAUGGUGGACAUCAUCGAAUAAUUCACGGGCUUUUUCCUAAUUCUCCUUAGUUCUUCUAGAACACAGAUCAGCAGAUGUUUACGACUCCAGUACCCAUGGUCUGAGUUGAGGUCCCAGUGGGGAUCCAUACUGGGGAUGGCUUGCUGACCAGUAGGAAAUUUGUCCCUUUCUUCAGCUGUCAUUCUAUCAUUUACUGACUAAGAUACCAGGUAUCUCCAAACUCUCAGGCUGCAGCUAAAGCCUCAUUCUUUUCAUUAAAGGCCAGGGUUUGAUCUAAUAGUAGCAUGACAUCGCUCCAGGUGAGAUCGAAAGUUUGCCCUAGACCCUGUAGGACAUCUAUAUACCUAUCAGGAUCAUCUGAAAACUUCCCCAGGUCUACCUUGAUCUGCUUUAAAUCAGAGAAGGAGAAGGGGACAUGUACCCAGGUAAGGCCAAAUUCCCCUCCCCGUACAGCUUGAAGAGGACAUAACCAAUAGCGGGGGGCGGGGGGGUUGUGGUCCCUUGGAGAUUUCUUUGCUUGUUUUCUUCUGGGCGGGGGAGAUUAGAGGAGGAUUAUCAUUAAUAGGAAGGGGAGCUAUAGGGAGGCUAGGAUAUGGGGGUAAGCUGAGAGGUCCUCUUGUGGGAUGUAAACUGCAAGCUUUGCAUAGUUGUGGAUUCUCCUUCAAUGAAAAGAAAGCUUGGACAUAAGGUAUUUCACUCCAUUUGCCUUCCCUCUUACAGAAAAGGUCAAGCUGCAGGAUAGUAUUGUAAUUUAUACUUCCGUCAGGUGACCAUUUUUCCCCAUCAGAGAGAGAAUAUUGGGGCCAGGCUGUAGCACAGGAAAAAAUGAGCCGCCUCUUUUUCAGAGUUUGUGCGUCAAAUUGGUCCCAAUGGUUUAGGAUGCAUUUCAAGGGUGAGCCUGUUGAUGCCUGAGUGUUUCCCACCUGGGUCGCCAAAAUGUGUCCAGAAUUUAUUCCUUCUGGUGCAUUCUUGGUCUCACUGACUUCAAGAAUGAAGCCGUGGACCUUGCAGUGAGUUUUACAGUCUUAAAGAUGGCACGUCCGGAGUUAUUUCUUCCUCCCAGUGGGUUUGUGGUCUUGCUGACUUCAGGAAUGAAGCCGCAGACCCUCAUGGUGAGUGUUACAGCUCUUAAAGUUGGCACGGACCCAAAGAAUGAGCAGCAGCAAGAUUUAUUAUGAAGAGCAAAAGAACAAAGCUUCCACAAUAUGGAAGGGGACCCAAGUGAGUUGCCACUGCUGGCUGGAGGUGGCCAGCUUUUAUUCCCUUAUUUGUCCCCACCCACGUCCUGCUGAUUGGUCCAUUUUACAGAGUGCUGAUUGGUGCAUUUACAAUCCUUUAGCUAGACACAGAGCACUGAUUGGUGCAUUUUUACAGAGUGCUGAUUGGUACAUUUACAAUCCUUUAGCUAGACAGAAAAGUUCUCCGAGUCGCCACUUGACCCAGGAAGUCCAGCUGGCUUCACCUCUCAGUAUGAACCUUUAAUAUGAGCUCUGCCCUCUAACUUUGUGAGCGCACAGCACAGUAACAUUCACUACAGGCCUCGUGCUGCCCACCCAUCUGGAGGACUGAUUCUUCUGGCACAGGGGAAACUCGAUCUGAAUUGAGGGCAGCUCCCCCUUCCCUCUCCUGUGGGAUCUGCAUGUCUCCCAGGUUCCGAGAGUUGCCAGGAGCCUGAGCACCUUUCAGUUUUCAGCUCAGAGAAAGCCAAGUGCAACUUGCUUCAGUCAUCCUGAACCUGAAUUCAACCAACCGCAGCUGCCUACGUUUGACCCCAGCGAGAUCAAAGUUGUAUAUCUGAGGUGUACCAGUGGCGAAGUCAGUGCCACAUCUGCACUGGCCCCCAAGGUCAGCUCCCUGGGUCUGUCUCCAAAAAUGGUUGCUGAUGACAUCACCAGCCAUUGACUGGAAGAAUCUGAGGAUGACAGUGAAACUGACCAGCCACAACAGGCCCAGAUUGAGGUGGUGCCUUCUGCCUCUGCCCUGAUCAUCACAACCCUCAGGAACCACCAACAGACAGAAAGAAACACAAAAAACGUGAAACACAGUGGAAGCACCACUUUUGAUGAGAUUGUCAACAUUGCCCAACAGAUGCAGCACCAGUCUUUAGCCAGAGAACUCUCUGGAACCAUUAAAGAAUUCCUCGGGGCUGGGCGCGGUGGCUAAUGCCUUAAUCCCAGCACUUUGGGAGGCCGAGGCGGGAGGAUCAUGAGAUCAGGAGGUCAAGACCAUCCUAGUUAACACGGUGAAACCCCGUCUCUUACUAAAAAUACAAAAAAAUUAGCCAGGCAUGGUGGUGGGAGCCUAUAGUCCCAGCUACUCAGGAGGCUGAGGCAGGAGAAUGGUGUGAACCCCAGAGGCAGAGCUUGCAGUGAGCUGAGUUUGCGCCACUGCACUCCAGCCUGGGCGACAGAGCGAGACUCCGUCUCAAAAAAAAAAAAAAACGGAAUUCCUGGGGACUGCCCAGUCCGUGAGCUGCAAUGUUGAUGGUAUCACAGAUGAUACCAACAGUGAAGCAGUGGAAUGCCCAGCUAGUUAAAGAGUGCAAAGGAAAAUAUUUUCACAAAGGGUUAUCUGAUAACCAAAAAAAAAAAAAAGACAUUUCAUCUAAGCCACUUAACACCGUGUCUGACAUGUAGUAAAUAAUGAAUGUCAAUGAUUCUCAAAGAACCCAGGAAUAGAAAAAGCAUUUAAUAAAAAUUAGCUCUUGGCAUAAUCUCUUCAUCCAUGCCCAGCAGAGCUGUCAGAUGUCUUCCAGGUUCACGAGAAUUCAUUUCUCUGCCCCGUUCCCGCUUUGCACUUGGUAGCAAUUACCACAUGGUUCGCCUUAUGUUAGAACUAUUUGUAUAAGUGGUAGUCAAGGCCACCGAGUCAUGCAUUCCUGGAGGUCAGUUACUAUUUCUUUUUUUGAGACAGAGUCACUCUGUCGCCCAGGCUGGAGUGCAGUGGUACGAUCUCGGCUCACUGCAACCUCCGCCUCUGGGUUCAAGUGAUUCUUCUGCCUCAGCCUCCCAAGUAGCUGGGAUUACAGGCACCCACCACCACGCCCAGCUAAUUUUUGUAUUUUUAGUAGAGACAGGGUUUUGCCAUGUUGGCCAGGCUGAUCUCAAACUCCUGACCUCAGGUGAUCCACCUGUCUCGGCCUCCCAAAGUGCUGGGAUUACAGGCGUGACCACUGCGCCCAGCCUGGGUCAGUUACUAUAUCUUACUCACCUUACAAACCCCAGAAGGCUACACACAGCUCCUGCACAUGGUACGCCUUCAAGGAAUUACCCAUGGAUUUGAAUAAGGUUAUAUAUGAUGUAACACUCAUGCACUUUAUUUCAUUUUUAGUGAGUUUAUAUUCUAAAAUAUUUGCUCCUGGUGAAAAAUAAUUCAGACAGUGCAAAUAAAGAUUAUUCCAAAUAGGAUCAUAUAAUACUCUUGCAA